AUUGAACGCUGGCGGCAGGCCUAACACAUGCAAGUCGAGCGGAUGAAGGGAGCUUGCUCCUGGAUUCAGCGGCGGACGGGUGAGUAAUGCCUAGGAAUCUGCCUGGUAGUGGGGGAUAACGUCCGGAAACGGGCGCUAAUACCGCAUACGUCCUGAGGGAGAAAGUGGGGGAUCUUCGGACCUCACGCUAUCAGAUGAGCCUAGGUCGGAUUAGCUAGUUGGUGGGGUAAAGGCCUACCAAGGCGACGAUCCGUAACUGGUCUGAGAGGAUGAUCAGUCACACUAGAACUGAGACACGGUCCAGACUCCUACGGGAGGCAGCAGUGGGGAAUAUUGGACAAUGGGCGAAAGCCUGAUCCAGCCAUGCCGCGUGUGUGAAGAAGGUCUUCGGAUUGUAAAGCACUUUAAGUUGGGAGGAAGGGCAGUAAGUUAAUACCUUGCUGUUUUGACGUUACCAACAGAAUAAGCACCGGCUGACUUCGUG
rnacentral:rRNA from 1 species